rnacentral:lncRNA from 1 species
CGUCUGGUUAAAGAGCAUGUGAGGGUGGGCAAGGGCCUGUGCCUGGGAGGGUGCACCAGCCCCCCAGACCGGGGCCAGAGAGCAGAUGGGGGUGCUCGGGAGCCAUGGGUCCUGAUUAUUGCUGAGUUACCACGUGAUCAAGCCAUUGUCCACGGAGCUGGACCCCGUGCCUGACUUGACACUGGUUUCUGGGUUUGCAGCCUCCAGGAAGGUGGAGGUUGGAGAAGAUGCUGGAAUCACCCAGCUGCUCCCUCUCCAGGGGUCCCUAGUGUGUGUGCUACUGCCCCGACCCCCCUGGGAGUCCCAGGCCCCCGCCCAGGGAUCCUAAGCCUUAAAUGGGUGGGAACCCUAGAACCUGCACUGCAAGGAUACCCUGUCUCUGCCCAGGCCUGGGCAGGAGACUGGCUUUGGCCUGGGGAUAGGAGAUACUGGGUGAGUCCCUCCCUUCCUCUGAGGCUCCCUGGCCCUCUGUGAGAGGGGUUACUGCUUUCUGCUUCCAUGGCUGCUUCUACCAAAAGUUCUGUGGGAUGCUGCCGAGGAACGUGCCAUGGCCUGUGUUUGGCACACAGUAGGCACUUGUCAAUGUGACCAUCCUGGCAACUCCAGCACCAGCAAGUACUAAGCAACACAACAGUCAUGAGAGCUGACCUGCUGCAUGCUUCUCAUGCUAAGUGUUGCCUUCCGCACAAUUUGGGGACCUGGGCACCUUUUUGGCCCCUUUUACAGAAGAGACCAGUGAGGUUUAGAGAGCAGGCUUGCAGGGGAAGUGGACGGACUGGGCCGCAAACUCAGGCCUCUUUGUCUGGCCUGGCCCACGUGCCUUCUCCCAUUAGGUGGAGAAACAGUGGCCCUGGAGCUGUCUGUGGCAGUGCGGUUACUAUAGCAGCCACCUCAGCCCCCGAGAGGGGAAGUGGAAAAUAGGCCAGAGCAGUAAUGAGGCUGCACGGUUCUGAUCUGUCCCCUGAUGGGAUCAGGCUUCACAAGCCUUCUUCCCACAUCAGAGGCAGCCCAGUGUCUGGGCCGUGGAUCAAAGGCCAGUCGUCUCUGCGCCCAGACACUGCGCCUGGCUCAGGCCUCAGAAGGUCCCCCCUUGAUCCUCCCACAGUGAGUCAUGCUGUUGCUGGCACCAGCCUCUGCCUGUUCCCUAAGGAUGUCACUUGCUGCCUGGAUCGGCAGUGAGCAGCGGUCCUGAGAAGGGCUCGUGCCCCAAACAGCUUGCACGGGGCUGCCCGAGACCCCACCUUGGGACCCAUGUGGCUUCCUUUCAAGGGGCAGCUCAUGGAGGGCAAGGGGCUUUUCAUGCUGGCAAACCCAGGUUUGACUCUGUGGUCCAUGUGGGGCUCUGGUCCUCUGACUCCCUUCCUCCGAUGGUCAACGUCCUUGUCUCAGUGCUGUGCAAAGAGGUGAUGCCUGCAAUGGCUCAGAAUGCAGCAGAGCAGACACAAGUCCUGCCUCCCCAUCAUGCUGUGGGACCUUGACCACACAUUCAACCUCUCUGAGCCUGUUUCCUCAUCCUCUUGUGACGAUGAAACAAGGUGACAAGUUUGCUCAAACCUUGUCUUCUCAGGCGGCUUCUCUAGCAACUGAACCCCACCCCUGCUCUCCCACCAAAAUCUAUAUAAUUUAUUUAUGCAGUAGGGUUACUGUUCCUUGUCCAACUGCCCCCCUGGAAUGUCAGCCCCUCUGGCGUGAGAGCAGGGAUCUUCCAUUUGUUUUCUAACGUAUCCCAAGUAAUAGAACAGCGCCGGGCAUGCAGUGGACCGAAGCUUGUUGAGUGAUUAUGUGUGGUCCCUAGAGCAGGACGGCUGCAUCAGUGACCACCCCCGUUUUCUCUCUGGCUCCCUCUCCUUUCCUGGCACAACCCCAGGCUUCUGCUGUGACCUCACCCCAUGCAUUCACAUCCCCCUCUGGUCCUGGAGCCCCUGGGCCUCAGCUUGGGAAAGGCGGGGACACCUGAGCCAACAGCCUGGGUCUGUGUGGUCCAUGGAAGCCUCUGCCCACGCCCCCAUGUGAGGUCGGGCCUCCUCUGCCAGCUCUGGGGAAAUUUCCAGAAGGGCUCCUGAGACGCAAGGAGGGGAGCAGCUUGUCCCAAUCUUCAUAGCUAAGACCACAGGGUUCUGGGCUCGGGGUUCCCUCUCUGCCGAAGACCCCUGGGGGCCACAUCUGCCCAGUGAGGUUGUGACGGGUGGGUAUGAGCUGCCCUGGGAUGCCCUAGAAGACCACAGACCCGGCCUCCUCCAGAAUUCCGGCCUCUCCCUGCCUGUCUCCUGUCUCCCUCCCCGGAAUCCAGUUCCUUCCAGAGAAACCAAAGUGAACCCACUGAGAGCGCCCAGAAUAAACAGUGACUAUAGGAGGAGACCCACCCCCGUGGAGCAGGGAGGAGGAUCGGGAAACACAGACAGAACCGAAGUGCAAGUGGGCUCCCGGCUUCCUGUCCUCAAGAUGCUUAUGUGAAGGAGAUGCACCAGAAAAUUCCACUCAGCAAAGGCUGCUCCUCGUAAUUAACGCUGCAGGGAAACAAGGACAGAACAGCAAAGGGCUCAUCCGGGGCAGGUCCACCGACGUGGGGUCACGUGGGCUAUGUCCCUGGGGCUUCAGGACCCGUGUCACCCCCUCAGCAUGCAGAGACCUGGGGGGGGGGACCAGGUGGGGGGGUGUGGAGGCGGGGGCUCCUGGGGACCCUGCAUGUUAGUGCCCAGAAGCUCCUGGUGUCUUCCCCCUACAGACACGGGGGAAGGGCAAGUCCCUUCCUUCUCUCCGAGCAGAGGAGUUUCAGAUCUGUCAGCCCCUUCAUGGCAUCUGCAACGCACGGGAUCUUGGAAUUAGAGCAUCUUUCACAGACUCACAGACGCUUUCACACAGUCUUUGAAUCACAGAACCUGAGAAUCCUAGAAUUCUAGAAUCAUAGGACCAUUCAAAGACUUACGGGCCUGAGAGUCGUAGAAUUAAGGAAUCUCUGGAGAAGACCUGGAGCCUCACCCACAGCUUAUUGGACCCUUGGAAUCGCAGCAUCAACCCUGAUAAACCUGGCAUUGAAACAGUCACCCUGAAGUCAGAACCUUAGCACAGGAAUUGACCUUUGUCCAGAGCCCACCUCCCACCCCCCCGGUUCAUGCAGAAGCCUUCUCUUCACUGUCCUAUAAUAACUUGAAUUCUUGCAGGGACGGGGAGCUUACCACCUGGCAGGGGAACCUGACUACUGGGCCCAUCAGGCUGCUGCUGCUGAGCCUAAAUUUGCUUCCAUGUGACCCACCCACUCCUCUGUCCACAUUUUGUGCCUUCCACCCCCCUCAACAUCCUGCCCCCACAAAGAGCUAAAUGUGAAAACUAGUGGACGGGAAACCAUUGAAGAAGCAAUUUGUCCUGGAAAAAACACAGUCCAGUUUGACCUUCAGGCUGUAGAGGUCAGUCUUCCUCCACAGCCAGCCUGGCACCAGCCGUGGGACGCUCAGCCCACAUCCAUUCACCAAGGGUUGAAAGGUGAUGAGAACAAUCGAGAUGUAGGGAGGGGUGGGGAGGCUGAGCAUGCCCUUUGAGGGGGUGGAUGAAGGGAUGCUGCCUUCUUGCACUGGAAAGGAUGCCCCGAGCCAGUGGACAAGGCUGGUCUGUGAGUCAGCCGACCUAGUCAGAGUUAUCCCAACUCUGCUACUGACUGCUAGGCUACUUUGAAUAAGUUAGGGUCUCAGAGCCUCAGUUUCUCCAUUUGUAAACUGGGCUAAUGAAGCCCACUCUUAAUCCGUGCCCAGGCUGCAGUGGACUCACUGAGGAUGCUCACUUCUUAUGUGGUCCUUGGCUCAUGGCAAGAGGGCACUCAGGUUACCUCCUUUCCCGCCUUCCAGCCUUGCCUGGGUCUUGGGGGCUGAGCAGGAUUUCUCCAGAGGAAGAAGAUGUGGAAAAGCAUUUCCAGGUGAAGGAACAGCAUGGGCAAAGCCUGGGGUCCACCAGCAUGUCAGGAGUACUUGGGGAGCAGCAUGUGUUUUAGGGGAGUCGGGAUGUGGGGGUGAAGAAGCAGUAUGGCCUGGGGGCAGUGGGGCCCUGGGUACCACUGUCCUAGAGGGCAGAGUGAGGGUGCCUGGAGCCUCGGCAGGAGCAGGUGCUUCCUGUGAAGUAGCCCCACCUCCUUUUGUCCUCAGCCUGGGGACAGAGUGCACUCGCCUGGCCUCCUGGGAUCCCAACACAAGGCAGGGCCAGGAAAGCCAAACAAAUUAAAACAUGUCAGAAACAAUCAUCAGAAGAGACAAGAGCUACUAGUUCCCAGGCUAGGGGUUGAAUCGGAGCUGUAGCCACCGGCCUACGCCAGAGCCACAGCAACGCGGGAUCCGAGCCGCGUCUGCAACCUACACCACAGCUCACGGCAACGCCAGAUCGUUAACCCACUGAGCAAGGGCAGGGACCGAACCCGCAAUCUCAUGGUUCCUAGUCGGAUUCGUUAACCACUGCACCACGACGGGAACUCCAAGACCCAGAUUUUAUUAAGUUUAUAAAGGAGGCCAAGUCUCCUGGAGCCUGGCGGCCCACGACAGAUUUGGGGAAGCUGCCAGAGGCGUGCUGUGGGGGCCGAGUGUCUGGGCUGGGAUUCAGUUCUGCCCCCAUGAGCUGUGUGACAUGGGGCAAGUUACCUAACCUCUCUGGGCUUUGCAUCCCACCUACAUGAGGCCAGGUUGUGUUGGCACCCCCAGGCAGCAGCACAGACCAAAGGAGACCCCACGGGAAGACCUCUGCUUCCUCACAUCCCAAGGCUUCCCUCUGUCAGAUCUCAGGGGUCCAAUCUUUUGCCCUCCUCCCCUCUGUGAUCCAGGCAGGAUCCAUCCGUCAAGCCUGGAUUUACUGUCCCAUCCGGUCACGGUCACGUGCUCCACCUGGUGCGUCCAAGCUGGCUCAACCCCGUCCAGUCCUUCCCCAGCCCCGGACCCUGCGUGUGACUCCGGCCUCCGCUCUGAACAGUCAGGGUCCCUCCCGCCCCCGUGACGGGCCCAGCAGUUUAAGGAGCUCAGGUGUGACUUCAUUUGGGUCUUGUCCCCAGGUUCCCUGCCCGCCUCCCCCCUCUGAUCACACAGGGACAGCGCAUUACUGGGCGGACCCUGGAGGGCAGGUCAGAGCAGCCCAUGGCAGGGGGUGCCUGCUGCCUCUGUGGGUUUCUGGGUGCCCUGGGCCAGACCACCUGCCCUCGCUCUCCCCCAGGAAUCCUUCACCUCCGGGAGGGUGUCUGAGCCUCCACGCGAUCUGGACAGGGGGAGGGUUCUGUCUCUAGAGCAUCUGCAGAGGACAGAGGCUGCCGUCCAUCCUCUUGCUGCACAGACAGUAAAGGUACAGAAAUACAGAGGAUAAAGGUAAACAUGGAGGAGUUCCCGCUGUGGCUCAAUGGAAACAAACUAGUAUCCCAGCUAGUAUCCAUGAGGAUGCCGGUUCAAUCCCUGCCUUGCUCAGCAGGUUAAAGAUCUUGCAUUGCUGUGAGCUGUGGUGUAGGUCACAGACACGGCUCAGAUCCUGUGUUGCUGUGGCUCCAGCUCCAAUUCAACCCCUAGCCUGGAAAUUUCCAUAUGCUGCAGGUGCAGCCCUGAAAAGCAGAAAUAAAUAAAUAAAUAAAUAGCUCCAAAUUGGAUGCAA